rnacentral:ncRNA from 1 species
GUUGUCGUCAGCUCGUGUCGUGAGAUGUUGGGUUAAGUCCCGCAACGAGCGCAACCCCUGCCCCUAGUUGCCAGCGGGUGGUGCCGGGCACUCUAGGGGGACUGCCGGGGAGGACCCGGAGGAAGGUGGGGAUGACGUCAAAUCAUCAUGCCCCUGAUGCCCAGGGCUACACACGUGCUACAAUGGCCGGGACAGAGCGAACCGAACCCGUGAGGGGGAGGAAAUCGCAAAAACCCGGUCUCAGUUCGGAUUGCAGGCUGCAACUCGCCUGCAUGAAGGCGGAAUCGCUAGUAAUCGCGGAUCAGAACGCCGCGGUGAAUACGUUCCCGGGCCUUGUACACACCGCCCGUCACACCAUGGGAGUCGGCAACACCCGAAGCCGGUGAGCUAACCCCGCAAGGGGAGGCAGCCGUCGAAGGUGGGGCCGAUGACUGGGGUGAAGUCGUAACAAGGUAUCCGUACCGGAAGGUGCGGAUGGAUCACCUCCUUU